rnacentral:rRNA from 1 species
CCUACGGGCGGCAGCAGUGAGGAAUAUUGGUCAAUGGGCGCGAGCCUGAACCAGCCAAGCCGCGUGAGUGAAGAAGGUCCAGCGUAUCGUAAACCUCUUUUGUCAGGGAACAAAGGCUGGGACUAGUCCCCGGAUGAGGGUACCUGAAGCACAAGCAUCGGCUCACUCCGUGCCAUCAGCCGCGGUAAUACGGAGGGUGCGAUCGUUAUCGGGAUUUAGUGGGUUUAACGGGUGCGCAGGGGGCCGGUUCAGUCAGCGGUAAAGGGCCGGGGCGAAACCCCGGCGGGCCGUUGAAACUGGCGGGCUGGAGUUGGAGAGAGGUAGGCAGAAUGCGAGGUGUAGCGGUGAAAUGCUUAGAGAUCGCGCAGAACCCCGAUUGCGAAGGCAGCGUACUGG